rnacentral:rRNA from 1 species
UACGUAUGGUGCAAGCGUUAUCCGGGUUUACUGGGUGUAAAGGGAGCGCAGGCGGCACGGCAAGCCUGAUGUGAAAGCCCGCGGCCCAACCGCGGGACUGCAUUGGGAACUACCGGGCUGGAGUGCCGGAGAGGUAGGCGGAAUUCCUAGUGUAGCGGUGAAAUGCGUAGAUAUUAGGAGGAACACCAGUGGCGAAGGCGGCCUACUGGACGGUGACUGACGCCGAGGCUCGAAAGCGUGGGGAGCAAACAGG